UGGAUCCAGACUUUGAUCAUGGCUCAGGACGAACGCUGGCGGCAUGCUUCAUACAUGCAAGUCGAACGAUAAGGUCUCUUCGGAGAUACAUAAGUGGCGGACGGGUGAGUAAUAUGUAGGAAAUCUGCCCUAGAGAGGGGGACAACAGAAGGAAACUUCUGCUAAUACCCCAUAUGAGCGUACCUGAAAUGGUAUUCUUGAAAACUCCGGUGCUCUAGGAUGAGCCUGCAUCUGAUUAGCUAGUUGGUGGUGUAAUGGACUACCAAGGCGACGAUCAGUAGCUGGUUUGAGAGGAUGAUCAGCCACAAUGGGACUGAGACACGGCCCAUACUCCUACGGGAGGCAGCAGUAGGGAAUUUUGCGCAAUGGGCGAAAGCCUGACGCAGCAAUGCCGCGUGAAUGUUAAACCCUUCGGGGUGUAAAGUUCUGUCAGUGGGGACGAACAAAUGACGGUACCCACAGAGGAAGCACCGGCUAACUCCGUGCCAGCAGCCGCGGUAAUACGGAGGGUGCAAGCGUUGUCCGGAAUCAUUGGGCGUAAAGAGUUCGUAGGCGGUUUGUUAAGUUAGAUGUUAAAUACUGAGGCUCAACCUCAGCACGGCAUUUGAUACUGGCAGACUUGAAUGCGGUAGAGGUAAAGGGAAUUCCUGGUGUAGCGGUGAAAUGCGUAGAUAUCAGGAGGAACAUCGGUGGCGUAAGCGCUUUACUGGGCCGUAAUUGACGCUGAGGAACGAAAGCCAGGGUAGCGAAUGGGAUUAGAUACCCCAGUAGUCCUGGCCGUAAACGAUGGAUACUAGGUGUUGCGGGUAUCGACCCCUGCAGUGCCGUAGCUAACGCGAUAAGUAUCCCGCCUGGGGAGUACGCACGCAAGUGUGCAACUCAAAGGAAUUGACGGA
rnacentral:rRNA from 1 species